UACGUAGGGUGCAAGCGUUGUCCGGAAUUAUUGGGCGUAAAGGGUGCGUAGGCGGCGCGGUAAGUCGGGUGUGAAAUUUCGGAGCUUAACUCCGGAAACUGCAUUCGAUACUGCGGUGCUUGAGGACUGGAGAGGAGACGUGGAAUUCAUGGUGUAGCAGUGAAAUGCGCAGAUAUCAGGAGGAACACCUAUUGCGAAGGCAGCUCGCUGGGACGUAACUGACGCUGAGACGACGAAAGCGUGGGGAGCAAACAGG
rnacentral:rRNA from 1 species